UACGGAGGAUCCAAGCGUUAUCCGGAAUCAUUGGGUUUAAAGGGUCCGUAGGCGGUUUGGUAAGUCAGUGGUGAAAGCCCAUCGCUCAACGGUGGAACGGCCAUUGAUACUGCCAGACUUGAAUUAUUAGGAAGUAACUAGAAUAUGUAGUGUAGCGGUGAAAUGCUUAGAGAUUACAUGGAAUACCAAUUGCGAAGGCAGGUUACUACUAAUGGAUUUGACGCUGAUGGACGAAAAGCGUGGGGUAGCGAACAGGG
rnacentral:rRNA from 1 species